rnacentral:rRNA from 1 species
UACGGAGGGGGCUAGCGUUGUUCGGAAUUACUGGGCGUAAAGCGCACGUAGGCGGCUUUGUAAGUCAGAGGUGAAAGCCUGGAGCUCAACUCCAGAACUGCCUUUGAGACUGCAUCGCUUGAAUCCAGGAGAGGUGAGUGGAAUUCCGAGUGUAGAGGUGAAAUUCGUAGAUAUUCGCAAGAACACCAGUGGCGAAGGCGGCUCACUGGCCCGAUACUGACGCUGAGGCACGAAAGCGUGGGGAGCAAACAGG